rnacentral:rRNA from 1 species
GCAGUCAACGCGAACGUUUCCUUCGGGGAACUAGUAGAGUGGCGCACGGGUGAGUAACGCGUAAGUAAUCUACCCUCGCAUUCGGGAUAACCCACCGAAAGGUGUGCUAAUACCGGAUACGUCUCAUUUAAUAUCUUUUGAUGAGAGAAAGGUGGCCUCUUGAAUCAAAGCUACUGUGCGGGGAGGAGCUUGCGUACCAUUAGCUAGUUGGUAGGGUAACGGCCUACCAAGGCGAUGAUGGUUAGCGGGUCUGAGAGGAUGAUCCGCCACACUGGAACUGGAACACGGACCAGACUCCUACGGGAGGCAGCAGUGAGGAAUAUUGCGCAAUGGGGGCAACCCUGACGCAGCGACGCCGCGUGGAUGGUGAAGGCCUUCGGGUUGUAAAAUCCUGUCAGAUGGGAAGAAGUGUGUAUCACCCAAUACGUGAUACAUUUGACGGUACCAUCAAAGGAAGCACCGGCUAACUCCGUGCCAGCAGCCGCGGUAAUACGGAGGGUGCAAGCGUUGUUCGGAAUUACUGGGCGUAAAGCGCGCGUAGGCGGCUAGAUAAGUCAGAUGUGAAAGCCCGCGGCUCAACCGUGGAAGAGCAUUUGAAACUGUCUAGCUUGAGUACUGGAGGGGGUAGUGGAAUUCCCGGUGUAGAGGUGAAAUUCGUAGAUAUCGGGAGGAAUACCGGUGGCGAAGGCGACUACCUGGCCAGGAUACUGACGCUGAGGUGCGAAAGCGUGGGGAGCAAACAGGAUUAAGAUACCCUGG